rnacentral:misc_RNA from 1 species
CGGCAUUCUUUGGUAUGGCAUCACCAAGGAGCUUAUAGCUCACAGCGGCAUAAUGCAAGGCAGGUAGAUCAGAGAGCUGGAAACCAGGUUCUACUACUUUUUUCAAACGAGUUUUGUCAGCCACCGAUAAAUAAGAACUCGUCGAAGAAGAAAAUGGAGUUGCACCCAGAGCUACGCAUAGAAGCGCAGAGGCAAAUAGCGGCCAAAUUGCUGUUGAGAAUAAGCGGAGUCCACGUGUCUUGGAAAAAUUGGUCCUAACUAGAAGCGUGGAGAUGCGUUUGUACGAUUCGUCCGUUGUUCGUACUCGAAAAACCUCUUGAAAGAAGAAAAUCUAAUACGUAGGACCGACCGCGGUAAUUAUUAUUCGAAUGUUGAAAGUCGUUUGAUAGAAAACGACCGGCGUUUUUGGAAUACAAUGGAGGGUGCAAAAUGGUCCAAAUAACCCGAGGAAUGUCGAGUACCGAGGGUAUUUUGAUCCAGUUAAUUGCAGGUUUUCUUGAGUUGCACUUUG